rnacentral:rRNA from 1 species
AUUGAACGCUGGCGGCAGGCCUAACACAUGCAAGUCGAGCGGCAGCGGAAAGUAGCUUGCUACUUUGCCGGCGAGCGGCGGACGGGUGAGUAAUGUCUGGGAAACUGCCUGAUGGAGGGGGAUAACUACUGGAAACGGUAGCUAAUACCGCAUAACGUCGCAAGACCAAAGAGGGGGACCUUCGGGCCUCUUGCCAUCAGAUGUGCCCAGAUGGGAUUAGCUAGUAGGUGGGGUAACGGCUCACCUAGGCGACGAUCCCUAGCUGGUCUGAGAGGAUGACCAGCCACACUGGAACUGAGACACGGUCCAGACUCCUACGGGAGGCAGCAGUGGGGAAUAUUGCACAAUGGGCGCAAGCCUGAUGCAGCCAUGCCGCGUGUAUGAAGAAGGCCUUCGGGUUGUAAAGUACUUUCAGCGGGGAGGAAGGCGUUGAGGUUAAUAACCUCAGUGAUUGACGUUACCCGCAGAAGAAGCACCGGCUAACUCCGUGCCAGCAGCCGCGGUAA